UUUAAAGUUUUAUUUUUAAAUUUUGAAUUUUGAAUUUUGAAUUUUAAAUUUUAGAACUUUAAUUAUUAUAAAUCCUGUGGAAUUGUACCAUAUGUAUCCAAACAGCUUUAAAAUGAAGCUGUAGAACUUUUUUGUAGUUAUAGAUUCCGUAUUUUAUUUAGACCGAAAUAAAAAGUCCUUAGAGUUUUAAACCAUGCAUCCAAACAGGACCCAAGGUUGGUGCUUCUAGGUAUAUAUAUAUAUAGAGAGAGAGAGAGAAAGCUAGGCUGGUAUACUAUCGGUAGCACGGAGGCUUCCGUGCUACCAAGUUGUUUUCGAUGAUGCGUCUUCCAAAUCGACCAUCGGCUCCGUUAGACUUGAUCUACACUAUUAAAAAUAUUUGGAAACUAAAUUUUAUAAUUUUUCGGCAUCAUUUAUCUAUCAAACGAGUAGUAUAAAAAUGAAUGGCUAAAAAUAAAAUCUCAUAAAAAUAAUGAUAAAAGACUUGAAUUUAAAAUAAGAGGUACCAAUUUUACUCUAAAAUAAGUGAAAAAAAAUUUCUAUAAAAAUUUUAUCAAAUUUAGAUUGUUUUACGCUGUUAAAUUCACAAAUGCAUCACAUCUACCAUUAAAAUUAUCAAGUUUGAGACCUUUGAUCACUAGCCAAAAUGAUGUCGAAAAAUUAUAAAAUUUAGUUUCCAAAUACUUUCAAUAGUGUAGAUCAAGUCUAACGGAGCCGAUCGUCGAUUUGGAAGCCGCAUCAUUAAAAACAACUUGAUAGCACGAAAAUCUCCGUGCUACGAUAGUAUACUAGCCUAACUCUCUCUCUAUAUAUAUAUAUAUCUCUCUCUCUCU
rnacentral:lncRNA from 1 species